rnacentral:rRNA from 1 species
GCAGUAGAAGUAGCAAGUACUCGGUGGCGACCGGCGCACGGGUGAGUAACGCGUAUGGCAACCUACCUAUCGAGACGGGGAAGUAACCCGGCGAAAGUCGGGACUAAUACCGCAUAAAACAGGGGCACCGCAUGGUGAUAUUGUUAAGAAAUUCGCUGAUAGAUGGGCAUGCGUUCCAUUAGGUAGUUGGUGAGGUAACGGGCGUCACCAAGCCGACGAUGGAUAGGGGAACUGAGAGGUUGGUCCCCCACACUGGUACUGAGACACGGACCAGACUCCUACGGGAGGCAGCAGUGAGGAAUAUUGGUCAAUGGGCGGGAGCCUGAACCAGCCAAGUACCGCGUGAAGGAAGAAGGAUCUAUGGUUCGUAAACUUCUUUUGCAGGGGAAUAAAGUGCAGGACGUGUCCUGUUUUGUAUGUACCCUGAGAAUAAGGAUCGGCUAACUCCGUGCCAGCCGCGGC